AUGAACGAAAACGGUCAGAAAUCGGAAUCGGAGGUUGAAUCUGCUUGGAUUCGGCUUCGUGCGCGUUGGGAGCUAGCGUCUGUUCUCAAUUUCUUGCAGGAUGUGAAUUUAUAGUGUUGAUAUGAUGUUUAUGUGAAAUGUGUUGAAUUUUGAUGAAACUCGAUUGAUGUUGGAAAACCUAGAAAUUUGUGUGUUGAUAACAUAGGAAAAUAGGGGAAAUUGAUAGGAUAGGAUAGAUUGACAGAUACAGGUACAAUCGUUGAAACGGACCGAAUGUUUGGUAUUGAGGAAAGAGUGUGUGUGUGUGUGAGUGGGUGGGGGUAUUUGGAACCUGGAGAACUUUUGAAGAUGGAAAAUUUGAAGCCUGGAAGCUGAAAGGAUACUAAACUGUGAAAUGGUUUUUGACAUGCAAAUAAGUGUGUAUCUAAUGCAUUUAGUAAAGUUUACUACAAACUAAAAUGAUAUUAUUUGUAUAGAGUGAACAUGUAAAGAAUGAAAUCGUGGAUUUUUCGUUUUUUCGGUUGUUAUGUUUAUAUAUGGUUGUUUUGAU
rnacentral:lncRNA from 1 species